rnacentral:rRNA from 1 species
AGUGAACGCUGGCGGUAGGCCUAACACAUGCAAGUCGAACGGCAGCACAGUAAGAGCUUGCUCUUACGGGUGGCGAGUGGCGGACGGGUGAGGAAUACAUCGGAAUCUACUUUUUCGUGGGGGCUAACGUAGGGAAACUUACGCUAAUACCGCAUACGACCUACGUGUGAAAGCAGGGGAUCUUCGGACCUUGCGCGAUUGUAUGAGCCGAUGUCGGAUUAGCUAGUUGGCGGGGUAAAGGCCCACCAAGGCGACGAUCCGUAGCUGGUCUGAGAGGAUGUUCAGCCACACUGGAACUGAGACACGGUCCAGACUCCUACGGGAGGCAGCAGUGGGGAAUAUUGGACAAUGGGCGCAAGCCUGAUCCAGCCAUACCGCGUGGGUGAAGAAGGCCUUCGGGUUGUAAAGCCCUUUUGUUGGGAAAGAAAAGCAGCAGGUUAAUACCCCGCUGUUCUGACGGUACCCAAAGAAUAAGCACCGGCUAACUUCGUG